rnacentral:rRNA from 1 species
UGGGGAAUUUUGCACAAUGGGGGAAACCCUGAUGCAGCGACGCCGCGUGAUUUAGAAGGCCUUCGGGUUGUAAAAAUCUUUUUUACGGGAUGAAAAUGACAGUACCGUAAGAAUAAGGUCCGGCUAAAUACGUGCCAGCAGCCGCGGUAAUACGUAUGGACCGAGCGUUGUCCGGAAUCAUUGGGCGUAAAGGGUACGUAGGCGGCCUAGUAAGUUAGAAGUGAAAUAAUAUAGCUCAACUAUAUAAAGCUUUUAAAACUGCUAGGCUUGAGAGAUGGAAGGGAAAGUGGAAUUCCUAGUGUAGCGGUGAAAUGCGCAGAUAUUAGGAAGAAUACCGGUGGCGAAGGCGACUUUCUGGUCAUCAUCUGACGCUGAGGUACGAAAGCGUGGGUAGCGAACAGG